rnacentral:rRNA from 1 species
AGCAGCCGCGGUAAUUCCAGCUCCAAUAGCGUAUAUUAAAGUUGUUGCAGUUAAAAAGCUCGUAGUUGAAUUUCGGGAUCAAUUUGCUGGUCGUGCCUCCGGUACGUACUGGUAUUUAUUGGUUUCUCCCUUCUGACUAACCAUGAUGUCAUUCAUUUGGUGUUGUGGGGAAUCAGGACUGUUACUUUGAAAAAUUAGAGUGUUUAAAGCAGGCAUAAGCUUGAAUACAUUAGCAUGGAAUAAUGAAAUAGGACGUUUGAUCCUAUUUUGUUGGUUUCUAGGAUCGACGUAAUGAUUAAUAGGGAUAGUUGGGGGCAUUAGUAUUCAAUUGUCAGAGGUGAAAUUCUUGGAUUUAUUGAAGACUAACUACUGCGAAAGCAUUUGCCAAGGAUGUUUUCAUUAAUCAAGAACGAAAGUUAGGGGAUCGAAGACGAUCAGAUACCGUCGUAGUCUUAACCAUAAACUAUGCCGACUAGGGAUCGGAUGAUGUUAAUUUUUAAUGACUCAUUCGGCGCCUUAA